rnacentral:ncRNA from 1 species
UAAAAGUUUAAUUUUAGCUUAAAGGUUAAGUUAAUUUUUAUUGUACAUGUAAGUUGUAGUGAAAAAUUGUAUUUAAAAAAUAAAAUUUGCAGUAUAUAAAAUUUUAAAAUAAAGUAAUUUAGUUUAAGUAAUAAAUUUUAGUAUCGACAAUGUUUGUGCCAGCAGUUGCGGUUAUACAAACGAUACAAUUUAACUUUAUUAGGAAAUAAUUAAUUAGAUUUUAUUAGGAUUAAAUAUUAAAUUUUUAGGUGAAAUUAUUUAUUUAAUAUAAUUCUAAUUAUAGAUUUUGAGGUUAUUAAAUUUGUUUAUAAACUAGGAUUAGAUACCCUACUAUUAAAAAUUUAAAUUGGUUUCUUAAUUAGUAAUAGCUAUGUUCUUGAAAAUUAAAAAAUUUGGCGGUACUUUAAUCCUUUCAGAGGAACCUGUCCUGUAAUUGAUGGUCCACGAUUAAAAUUACUUAUUUUAAUUAGUUUGUAUAUCGUCGUUUAUUGAUUAUUUUAGGAGAAUUUUAAUAUUCAACAAAUAUAAUUUUAUAUUAAAGAUCAGAUCAAGCUGCAGCUUAUAAAUAAGAAGAGAUGGGUUACAAUAAGUUUAUUUAUUACGAAUAGAAUGAUUGGAAAAUUUUUUUGAAGGUGGAUUUGAAAGUAAUUUUGAUUAAUUAGUUAAAAUGAUUUGGAAUCUAAAGUAUGCACAUAUCGCCCGUCGCUCUCAUUAUUAAGUUGGGAUAAGUCGUAACAAAGUAGGCGUACUGGAAAGUGUGCCUUGAAUUAC